rnacentral:rRNA from 1 species
GGGCGAGGUUGCUUCGGUAACUGAGCUAGCGGCGGACGGGUGAGUAAUGCUUAGGAAUCUGCCUAUUAGUGGGGGACAACAUUCCGAAAGGAAUGCUAAUACCGCAUACGCCCUACGGGGGAAAGCAGGGGAUCCUCGGACCUUGCGCUAAUAGAUGAGCCUAAGUCAGAUUAGCUAGUUGGUGGGGUAAAGGCCUACCAAGGCGACGAUCUGUAGCGGGUCUGAGAGGAUGAUCCGCCACACUGGGGCUGAGACACGGCCCAGACUCCUACGGGAGGCAGCAGUGGGGAAUAUUGGACAAUGGGCGCAAGCCUGAUCCAGCCAUGCCGCGUGUGUGAAGAAGGCCUUUUGGUUGUAAAGCACUUUAAGCGAGGAGGAGGCUACUUGGAUUAAUACUCUAGGAUAGUGGACGUUACUCGCAGAAUAAGCACCGGCUAACUCUGUGCCAGCAGCCGCGGUAAUACAGAGGGUGCGAGCGUUAAUCGGAUUUACUGGGCGUAAAGCGUGCGUAGGCGCCUUCUUAAGUCGGAUGUGAAAUCCCUGAGCUUAACUUAGGAAUUGCAUUCGAUACUGGGAAGCUAGAGUAUGGGAGAGGAUGGUAGAAUUCCAGGUGUAGCGGUGAAAUGCGUAGAGAUCUGGAGGAAUACCGAUGGCGAAGGCAGCCAUCUGGCCUAAUACUGACGCUGAGGUACGAAAGCAUGGGGAGCAAACAGGAUUAGAUACCCUGG